rnacentral:RNase_P_RNA from 1 species
UGGGCAGAUCAGACGGCCGCGGGGGCGAGAGCCUUCGAGGAAAGUCCGGACAUCACAGGGCAGGGUGGUCGAGGGAUCGACCCGGGGAAACCCGCGGGAAAGUGCCACAGAAACAAACCGCCUACGUCCGCCGUCCCACGUGAACGGCGGGCCGGCAAGGGUGAAAUGGUGCGGUAAGAGCGCACCAGCGCCGCGCUGACGCGGCGGCUGGGUAAACCCCGCCCGAUGCAAGGCCAAAUCGGACCGCUUGCAGGCUGCCCGCCGAGGUCCAGGUAGGCCGCUCAGAUGGAUGGCCGUUCAACGACAGAAUCCGGCUUAUCGAUCCGCUAAGGAG